rnacentral:lncRNA from 1 species
CGAGGUGAUGUGGCUCUAGACUUCUAUUCAGCUUAGAGUCAUAGAUUGGUUACAUUAGCAUAUAAUUCUUGUGGCGUUGUAGAUCGGGAGGGAAGAUGAGAAAGUAAGGUAACAGGUUGAGUUUUUUUGUGUGCAACUGCUUGCAAUUUUGAUCUCAGUGAAUUGGAAGGAUGUGUCUGUUAUUACUGAAGUUUCAACAGUAAUAAGAACUUGUGUCAUGUAUCGUAAAUUGGGAGUUUUCUGUAAUUCAGGAGGAAGGGCAAUUUUGUCAACGCUGUUGAGUUUAUCUCGACAAUUCUCAAGGUUUAUUUUUGUCCACUCGAAUCCAAAUGGUAUUUCGGUUUUGUUUCUUUAUCUCGUGAUAUCACACAAUUGCAUUUUGUUGUGGUAAGGUUAUUUUUUCAUGUUUGUUUCUUGCCGUAUGUGCAUUCUCUAAUCGUAAUUGAUAUGCUGUUCAACCAUCUCUGCCUACUUCCUAGAGAAUUUCAGAGUUCAUUGUGUCAACAGUAUGAUCCCACGCAGAAUCUACUUAUGCUUUCGAAUUUCAGAGUUCAUUAUGUCUAUGAACUGCAAGCAAUGUAUCAAACUCAUCAACCAAUUAUGCUUUGUUGGAAAGCAAUGCCGCUUAUGUCGUGAGAAGAACUUUGGUUGGUGCCUUGGUGGCUGUUGCCAGUGUUCUCCAGUCAUAAGGUAUUCUAGUUUAUGGUCUUAUUAGGUGAGCUUUUCUUAGUACUUCUCUACACUUGAAUUUAUACAUCUUAUAUAUAAAAGAUUUGCUAGUUUGGAUUGGUGGCACAAUGACUGAUUGCUACGCCCAUUCUUUUCAAAACGAAACUGAUUGCUAUGUUUAGGUGUAGUAUUCUAGUGGCAGCCAUCUGGUCUUAUCCAUUCAAUGAUGUUUUCUCUUUCUGUGUCGAUACUUAUGCUUCGCUGUGACAUACACUGCUGAAAACUGUAGUUGUAUUCCUGCCAUAUGAUCGCAUGAUCUUGUUAAAUGCUUCAACGUAUUCUAUUUUCUGCUUACCUUAGGCUGAGAUGCUCAUCUGAUGGACCGCUGUGUAUUUAGGGACCCUGAACCAUGUAACUUUUUCCCCUUAACCUGCUACAUACAUCAGAGAGCUCAAAACUUGUAAGCUAAAUAUGAAGAUGGUUCUCUUGUUAUAGUGUCCGGUGCCACUUUGAGUUCUGUUGAGCAGUCUUCAUGCUUGAUGUUUUGCGUUCAGCAUUGAAGUAACCGAAAUCAAAAUGAUAGCCAAGCCUGGUGCUUUCUGUCGAUUGCGGUCUGCCCAGACGAUUAGGAUAGAUAAAGUUUAGACUGUGAGUCAAUCACUUUCUUCCACUUCCGGUGCUCCUUUGAUGGGGAAGUUUGUUCUGCUGCUGCCCUUUUCUAGCCGGAUCUUGCUUUAUUCCUCUGUGCUCCUCUUCCCAUUGUGGAUUCCACAUUUGGGUGCUGUGCUUUUCUUAGUCAAUUGCUGGCUGGAGCUGGACCCUAUUCUCCUUGCCAGCCAAUUGAAGGAUCACACCAUUCGUAAUUGUGGUGCCACUCUUUUUCUGUGGGUCUGCGGUGGGCUGUUGCUGAGAAUAAGUUCACUGUCUGGCUCCAUUCAAUGAGAAUCGAGAACUAACUCCCCUGCACUACACUGCACAUUUGCUAUCAUCUCAAGGGCUUUACUAAUCAUUUAUAGCAUCCUGGAGGAACGGCGGCCGGCUGCUGGAGUACCUCUGUAUACUCUGUUGCUAAGCUGCUCCGAGCCUCCGAGGUAUAAAAUGAGGAAAAAUCAUCUGUCUCAUUUUGGUCACUGAACUUCGAAAUGCCCUAAAUACGGUCACGGAGGUUGCUUAAGUUGUCCAAUAUGGUCAGUAUAUAAGUUUCUGAGACAUAUCUAUAUGUACUCCCUUCAUUUUUGUAUACAAGGCCACUAUCAAAAUUACAAUUUGCACCUAUACAAGGCCACUAACACCAAUCAAGAUAAAAUUGAUGAGGUUUGUCUCGUACUAGCAACCGAGGACAUUAAUACCCCAUGCAUGCAUGCAGGGGUGAGAAGGUUGGUUUGAAUGCAUCGAAUUAAUCAACCAACGAGGAAUGAAGGAGUGAGAGAGUUGUCUUGUUGUGCGUUGGAGAGAAAAAUACACAUUUAUUAACACGUCAAGCGAGGAGAAAAGACUAGUUGCAACAUUUGGCUUAAGUGGCCAUUAAUUUCUAUCUUGGUACCUGUAAUAUGGGUUUGUGGUAUUGUAUACAAAAAUGGAGAAAGUACAUACAUUCUAAAAUAGAUGACUCAACUUUGUACUAACCAGUCAAAACGCAUAUUGAGUGACAACUCAAACCACCGGCACUAAUUCAUAAUUUUAGCACAGCUCUAGCUAUCACUCGUAGUUCAAAACUCAUUUUAUUCAUUACAUGGAGUUAUUUUAUAAAUAAAAUACAAAUGCGCUUCAAAUGGGUUGAUUUUUUUUUCCGAGAGUACACAAAUCGCGUCCCAUAACUUUAUAGAAGGAUAGAGAUAUGUACAAGAAAAGUUACAAGGGACAACACAAGUCGGAAUAUGUACAACUGCAAGCUCAGCUCCUACACCCAAACACUACUCAUGCUUCGUUUGGUAGAGGGGUUUUUCCAGCAUCAUCAGAGGGGGUGGGGAUUUCAGAGAUUUAGGGAACCCCCUCUUCCACCCAAUCCCCUUAAAUCCCCUUUGGUAGAGGGGUUUUCCAGCACCCGAGUGGGUGGGGAUUUCAGAGAUUUGGUGAAUCCCCCUCUUCCACCUGAGUAGUUUCAUUAGGGCCUACGGGUCCACAAUAGUAGCUAUAUGGCUUUCACUCUCUGAUCUUCGAUAUAAUGAUUUUCUCUGAGAUCAAUUUGUGGUGUGUUUGUUAGGAUCCAAUGACUUGUGGAUUUAUGAUCAGAUUAUUCAUUUAUUUAUCUUAAUUUAUAGCUAUUUAUGCUUUCCGAUCUAUGAUUCUUCUUUGGCCAUCAGUAGUUCUUCAGAGGAAGUGGUGCAUAGCAGUGGGUUCAAUCUUGCGGUGAUCUUGUCUAGUGACAAAAGGGAGGAAGGUGUGUAUUGUGUUGUUGUCACUAAGGGUAAAACGAUGGGGGUUAAUCUUAUUGCUAAGUUUUCUUUUAUCCACAUUAUGUCAUCUUGCUUAUUACGUUACUCAGUUUCUUGCAAACAUAAUACUUUGAGAUGCAUGCUGGAUAGCGGUCUUGGGGGUAGAGUAAUAGUUGUAGACGUCAGUAAGUUUAACGUUCUACUUAUCACAGACGCAAUGCCUAUGUGAAAUUAUGCCAUGAAUGAUCAUAGUUAUAACUUGUGUUAUUAUGUCAAUUGACCAAUAGUAAUUUGUCUACCAUGUCACUACAUGCUUUCGAGUGAGAUGCCAGUAGUGAGAACAUAUGGCCCUCGGGUCUAUUCUCCAUUAAUACAAAAGUUGGUACAAUUUGCUCUUUACUAUUUUGCCGCUUUGCCCUAUCACUAUUUGCUUUUAAUCUUGUAACUAGCAACAACAAGAGGAUUGGCAACCUCCUUGCUACUGUUGGUGCAAGCAAUUUUUUUUAUGUGUGCAGGUACUACUAACGUUGUUAGCUUGGUGUACUGGUUCAACAAACCUUGGUUUUUAACCGGGGGAAACACUACCUGUUGUCGUGCUACAUCACCUUUCUCUUCGGGGAAUCCAACAACUCCUACGGGAGUAGCACUCACAAAUGAAUCUCACCAAUCCCCUAUAUCUCGCACGCAUAGACUCACACAUGAGAGAGGAAUAACCAAACAACUUGGAGAUCAAACAAAGGGAAAUAAUCUCAAUAAUAUCACAAACAUCCGCAAAAGGAUGAAUGAUUAAACAAGUCUUGAUCUCAAGAUGAGUAUAAACAGAGUUACAAACCCUAAUCUUACAAAUUUGAAUUCCUCUACGUAUGGUCAUGUUGCGAUGAAUGAAAAUGGAGAUGGGCGAAAGAGAAGGAAUGGAUAUCUAGUGGUUCUUCUCCAGAUCUCUUCUUUCUCUGUCCUGGACGUGGUGACGGUGCCGCUCGUACCAUGCCCCGUCUUGCGCUCAUUUUGCUCCAAUGAACUUUUGCCAAAAGGAAAGUUGUUCCAAAUGGCAUCGUUUGAUGAGAUGUUGAUUGGUUUCCUUCCAAAUAUGUUUAUUCCUACAGGUCAAUAAAAAGAACAAGUUUUCUUCUUUCAUGAAGGAUUGGCGUUAGAAAGAUGCGAGAAAUAUCAAAAAACCUUUGAAAACCACAUCAAAAUCCUCUUAUAAAAGUUGCAAAAUAUGGAGCCAUCAUGCACUAGUAAAUACAUUAGUCCCUCAACUGUUUUGUCUAACAAACUCCAAAACACUCAAGGGGCAAUAGAUUGCACCAACAUAGGUGAUUGGUGAGAUUCAUUUGUGACUAAUCCAUAUGUUGAUAUUACUUUUAUGAUUGAUUGUUGAGAUGAUUAUUUGUGUUGAACGUAAUGCUUGUUGUCUAAUUUAAGGGCCACACAACAUGAUCAAAACACUUACAUAGUUAAGCACAUAUUGUUUGGUGAAUCCAUGACCUAUAGAUGACAGGUGUUUGUAUCAACAAGGUGCGAGGACAAUAUGAGAAGAACGAAAAUGAAGGAAAUAUGCCCUAGAGGUAAUAAUAAAGUUGUUAUUUUAUAUUCCUUAUAUCAUGAUAAAUGUUUAUUAUUCAUGCUAGAAUUGUAUUAACCGGAAACUUCAUACAUGUGUGGAUACAUAGACAAAACACUGCGUCCCUAGUAAGCCUCUACUAGACUAGCUCGUUAAUCAAAGAUGGUUAAGUUUCCAAACCAUAGACAUGUGUUGUCAUUUGAUGAACGAGAUCACAUCAUUAGGAGAAUGAUGUGAUGGACAAGACCCAUCUGUUAGCUUAGCAUAAUGAUCAUUCAGUUUAUUGCUAUUGCUUUCUUCAUGUCAAAUACAUAUUCCUUCGACUAUGAGAUUAUGCAACUCACGGAUACCGAAGGAAUACCUUGUGUGCUGUCAAAUGUCACAACGUAACUGGGUGAUCAUAAAGAUGCUUUACAUGUAUCUCCGAAGGUGUUUGUUGGGUUGGCAUAUAUCGAGAUUAGGAUUUGUCACUCCGAGUAUCGGAGAGGUAUCUCUGGGCCCUCUCGGUAAUGCACAUCAUAAGAAGCCUUGCAAGCAAAGUGACUAAUGAGUUAGUUACAGGAUGAUGUAUUACGGAACGAGUAAAGAGACUUGCCGGUAACGGGAUUUAACUAGGUAUGUGGAUACCGACGAUCGAAUCUCGGGUAAGUAACAUACCGAUGGACAAAAUGAAUUAUGUAUGUUGUCAUAAGGUUCGACCGAUAAAGAUCUUCGUAGAAUAUGUAGGAGCCAAUAUGGGCAUCCAGGUUCCGCUAUUGGUUAUUGACCGAAGAAGUGUCUCGGUCAUGUCUACAUAGUUCUCGAACCCGUAGGGUCCGCACGCUUAACGUUCAUUGACGAUAUAGUACUAUAUGAGUUAUGUAUAUUGGUAACCGAAUGUUGUUCGGAGUCCCGGAUGUGAUCACAGACAUGACGAGAAGCUCCAGAAUGGUCCGGAGGUAAAGAUUGAUAUAUGGGAUAAUAGUGUUUGGUCUCCGGAAGGGUUCCGGAGUUCACCGGAAGGGGUUCCGGAUGUUUCCCGAAAUGUUUGGGUACGAGAACACUUUAUUUGGGCCAAAGGGGAAAGCCCACGAGGCUUUUGGAAAGUGCAAACGGGAGUUUUGCAGAGACCAGAGGCUAGACGCCAGGAACCCUAGCGUCUAAGCGGUAGAUGCCGGGAACCCUGGCGUCUAGCCCUGGAGUCCGAGUAGGACUCUUGCCUUUCAGGCAAAACCGACUUUGAGAAGGCUUUUACUCCAAGUUUCGACCCUAGGGCUCAACAUAUAAAUAGAGGGGCAGGGCUAGCACCCAAUACACAUCACGAAUCACCAAGCCGUGUGCCGGCAACCCCGUCCCCUCUAGUUUAUCCUCCGUCAUAGUUUCUGUUGUGCUUGGCGAAGCCCUGCGGAGAUUGUUCUUCACCAACACCGUCACCACGCCGUCGUGCUGCCAGAACUCAUCUACUACUUCGCCUGUCUUGCUGGAUCAAGAAGGCGAGGACGUCAUCGAGCUGAACGUGUGCUGAACGCGGAGGUGUCGUACGUUCGGUACUUGAUCGGGACGGAUCGUGAAGGUGUACGACUACAUCAACCGCAUUGAUAAACGCUUCUGCUUUGCGAUCUUCAAGGGUAUGAAGAUGCUCUCCCCUCUCAUAGCUAUGCACUCCAUGGAUAGAUCAUUGCAUGUGCGUAGAAUUUUUUUGAAAUUGCAUGCUACGUUUUCCAACAGUGGCAUCUGAGCCAGGUCUAUGUGUAGAUGAUAUGCACGAGUAGAACACAAAGAGUUGUGGGCGGUGAUAGUCAUACUGCUUACCACCAACGUCUUAUUUUUAGUCGGUGGUAUUGUUGGAUGAAGCGGCCCGGACCAACCUUACAUGACCACGUUCAUGAGACCGGCUCCACCGACAGACAUGUAACUAAUUUGCAUAAAGGUGGCUGGCGGGUGUCUGUUUCUCCUACUUUAGUUGAAUCAAAUUUGACUGCGGCCGGUCCUUGUUGAAGGUUAAAACUGCAAACUUGACGAAACACCGUUGUGGUUUUGAUGCGUAGGUAAGAACGGUUCUUGCUAGAAGCCCGUAGCAGCCACGUAAAACUUGCAACAACAAAGUAGAGGACGUCUAACUUGUUUUUGCAGGGCAUGUUGUGAUGUGAUAUGGUCAAGACAUGAUGUGAUAUACGUUGUUGUAUGAGAUGAUCAUGUUUUGUAAAAAUUAUCGGCAACUGGCAGGAGCCUUAUGGUUGUCGCUUUAUUGUAUGAAAUCAAAACGCCAUGUAAUUGCUUUACUUUAUCACUAUGCGUUAGCGAUAGUUGUAGAAGCAAUAGUUGGCGAGACGACCACGACGGAACGAUGGAAAUCAAGGUGUCGAGCCGGCGACGAUGGAGAUCAUGACGAUGCUUUGGAGAUGGAGAUCAAAAGCACAAGAUGAUGAUGGCCAUAUCAUGUCACAUAUUUUUGAUUGCAUGUGAUGUUUAUCUUUUAUAUGCAUCUUAUUUUGCUUAGUACGGCAGUAGCAUUAUAAGAUGAUCCCUUAACUAAAUUUCAAGGUAUAAGUGUUCUCCCUGAGUAUGCACCGUUGCGAAAGUUCUUCUUGCUAAGACACCACGUGAUGAUCGGGUGUGAUAGACUCUACGUUCACAUACAACGGGUGCAAGACAGUUUUGCACAUGCGGAAUUCUCGGGUUAAACAUGACGAGCCUGGCAUGUACAGACAUGGCCUCGGAACACUGGAGACCGAAAGGUCAAACGUGAAUCAUAUAGUAGAUAUGAUCAACAUAGAGAUGUUCACCAUUGAUGACUACUCCAUCUCACGUGAUGAUCGGACAUGGUUUAGUUGAUUCGGAUCACGUCUCAUUUAGAUGACUUGAGGGAUGUCUAUCUAAGUGGGACUUCUUAAGUAAUUUGAUUAAUUGAACUUAAUUUAUCAUGAACUUAGUCCUGGUAGUAUUUACAUAUCUAUGUUGUAGAUCAAUAGCUCGCGUAUAGCUCCCCUGUUUUAUCUUUGAUAUGUUCCUAGAGAAAAAACUAAGUUGAAAGAUGAUAGUAGCAAUGAUGCAGACUGGGUCCGUGAUCUGAGGAUUAUCCUCAUUGCUGCACAGAAGAAUUAUGUCCUUGAUGCACUGCUAGGUGACAGACCUAUUGCAAGAGCAGAUGCAGAUGUUAUGAAUGUUUGACAAGCUCAAUAUGAUAACUACUUGAUAGUUUAGUGUGCCAUGCUUUACAGCUUAGAAUCAGGGCUUCAAAGACGAUAUGAACGCUAUGGAACAUAUGAGAUGUUCCGAAUUGGUAUUUCAUACGCAUGCCCGUGUCGAGAGGUAUGAGACCUCUGACAAGUACUUUGCCUACAAGAUGGAGGAGAAUAGCUCAGCUAGUGAGCAUGUGGUCAGAAUGUCAGGGUAGUACAAUCGCUUGAAUCAAGUGGGAGUUAAUCUUCCAGAUAAUAUAGUGAUUGACAUAGUUCUCUAGUCACUAUCACCAAGUUGCUAGAACUUCGUGAUGAACUAUAAUGUGCAAGGGAUAGCGGAAAUGAUUCCCGAGCUCUUCGCGAUGCUGAAAUCGGCGAAGGUAGAAAUCAAGAAAGAGCAUCAAGUGUUGAUGGUUAACAAGACCACUAGUUUCAAGAAAAAGGGCAAAUGAAAAGAAAAGGAACUUCAAGAAGAAUGACAAGCAAGUUGCUGCUCCUGUGAAGAAGCCCAAAGCCAGACCUAAGCCUGAAACUGGGUGCUUCUACUGCAAAGGGAAUGGUCACUGGAAGCGGAACUACCCCAAAUACUUGGCGGAUAAGAAGGAUGGCAAAAUGGACAAAGGUAUAUUUGAUAUACAUGUUAUUAAUGUGUACUUUACUAGUGUUCAUAGUAACCCCAGAGUAUUUGAUACCGGUUCAGUUGCUAAGACUAGUAACUCGAAACAGGAGUUGCACAAUGAACAGAGACUAGUUAAGGGCGAGGUGACGAUGUGUGUUGGAAGUGAUUCCAAGGUUGAUAAGAUCACCAUUGCACACUCCCUCUACCUUCGGGACUAGUGUUGGACCUAAAUAAAUGUUAUUUGUUGUUUGCAUUGAGCAUGAAUAUGAUUGGAUCAUGUUUAUUGCGAUACGGUUAUUCAUUUAAGUCAGAGAAUAAUUGUUGUUCUGUUCACAUGAUAAAACCUUCUAUGGUCAUACACCCAAUGUAAAUGGUUUAUUGAAUCCCGAUCGUAGUGAUACACAUAUUCAUAAUAUUGAUGCCAAAAGAUGCAAAGUUGAUAAUGAUAGUGCAACAUAUUUGUGGCACUGUCGUUUAGGUCAUACUGGUGUAAAGCACAUGAAGAAACUCCAUACGGAUGGAUUUUUGGAAUCACUUGAUUAUGAAUCAUUUGAUACUUGCGAAGCAUGCCUCAUGGGCAAGAUGACUAAAACUCCGUUCUCCGGAACAAUGGAGCGAGCCAAUGACUUACUGGAAAUAAUACAUACCGAUUUAUGCGGUCCGAUGAGUGUUGAGGCACGCGGCGGGUAUCGUUAAUUCUGACCUUCAUAGAUGAUUUGAGCAGAUAUGGGUAUAUCUACUUAAUGAAACAAAAGUCUGAAACAUUUGAAAAGUUCAAAGAAUUUCAGAGUGAAGUGGAGAAUCAUCGUAAUAAGAAAAAAAAAGUUUCUACGAUCUGAUCGUGGAGGCAAAUAUUUGAGUUACGAGUUUGGCCUUCAUUUAAAACAAUGUGGAAUAGUUUCACAACUCACGCCACCUGGAACACCAUAGUGUAAUGGUGUGUCCGAACGUCGUAACCGUACUUUAUUAGAUAUGGUGCGAUCUAUGAUGUCUCUUACCUAUUUAUUACCACUAUCGUUUUGGGGUUAUGCAUUAGAGACAGCCGCAUUCACGUUAAAUAGGGCACCGUCCGAAUCCGUUGAGAUGACACCGUAUGAACUGUGGUUUGGCAAGAAACCUAAGUUGUCGUUUCUUAAAGUUUGGGGUUGCGACACUUAUGUCAAAAGGCUUCAACCUGAUAAGCUCGAACCUAGAUUAGGGAAGUGCAUCUUCAUAGGAUACCCUAAGGAAACAAUUGGGUACACCUUCUACCACAGAUCCGAAGGCAAGAUCUUUGUUGCCAAGAAUGGAACCUUUCUAGAGAAGGAGUUUCUCUCGAAAGAAGUGAGUGGGGGGAAAGUAGAACUUGAUGAGGUAAUUGUACCUUCUCUCGAAUUGGAAACUAGCUCAUCACAGAAAACCGUUCCCGUGAUGCCUACACCAACUAGAGAGGAAGCUAAUGAUGAUGAUCAUGAAACUUCAGAUCAAGUUACUACUAGACCUCAUAGGUCGAACAGAGCUCGUUCCGCACCAGAAUGGUAUGGUAAUCCUGUUCUGGAAGUGAUGUUACUAGACCAUGACAAACCUACGAACUAUGAAGAAGCUAUGAUGAGCCCAUAUUCUGAUAAAUGGCUUGAGGCCAUGAAAUCCGAGAUAGGAUCCAUGUAUGAGAACAAAGUGUGGCCUUUAGUGGACUUGCCCGAUGAUUGGCAAGCCAUUGAAAAUAAAUGGAUCUUCAAGAGGAAGACGGACACUGAUGGUAGUGUUACUAUCCACGAAGCUCCACUUGUCGCAAAAGGUUUUUGACAAGUUCAAGGUGUUGAUUACGAUGAGAUUUUCUCACUCGUAUCGAUGCUUAAGUCUAUCUGGAUCAUGUUAGCAAUUGCCGCAUUUUAUGAAAUCUGGCAAAUGGAUAUCAAAACUGCAUUCCUUAAUGGAUUUGUUAAAGAAGAGUUGUAUAUGAUGCAACUAGAAGGUUCUGUCAAUCAUAAAGGUGUUAACAAAAUGUGCAAGCUCCAACGAUCCAUCUAUGUACUGGUGCAAGCAUCUCGGAGUUAGAAUAUAAGCUUUGAUGAGUUGAUCAAAGCAUAUAGUAUUAUACAGACUUGCGCUGAAACCUAUAUUUACAAGAAAGUGAGUGGGAGCACUUCAGUCUUUCUGAUAAGUAUAUGUGAAUGACAUAUUGUUGAUCGGAAAUGAUGUAGAAUUUCCUGGAAAGCAUAAAGGAGUGUUUGAAAGGAGUUUUUCAAAGAAAGACCUCGGUGAAGCUGCUUACAUAUUGGGCAUCAAGAUCUAUGGAGGUAGAUCAAGACGCUUGAUAAGACUUUCGAUGAGUACAUACCUUGAUAAGAUUUUGAAGGAGUUCAAAAUGGAUCAGUCAAAGAAGGAGUUGUUGCCUGAGUUGUAAGGUAUGAAGUUGAGUAAGACUAAAAACCCGACCACGACAGAAGAUAGAGAGAGAAUGAAAGUCACUCCCUAUGCCUCAGCCAUAGGUUCUAUAAAGUAUGCCAUGUUGUAUACCAGACCUAUUGUGUACCUUGCCAUAAGUUUGGCAAAUGGGGUAUAAUAGUGAUCCAGGAGUAGAUCACUGGACAGUGGUCAAAAUUAUCCUUAGGUACCUAAAGAGAACUAAGGAAAUGUUUUCCGUUUAUGGAGGUGACAAAGAGUUCAUCGUAAAGGGUUGCGUCGAUGCAAGCUUUGACACUGAUCCGGAUGACUCUGAGUCUCAAUCUGGAUACAUAUUGAAAGUGGGAGCAAUUAGCUAGAGUAGCUCCAUGCAGAGCAUUGUAGACAUAGAAAUUUGCAAAAUACAUACGGAUCUAAAUGUGGCAGACCCGUUGACUAAACCUCUCUCACAAGCAAAACAUGAUCACACCUUAGUACUCUUUGGGUGUUAAUCACAUAGCGAUGUGAACUAGAUUAUUUACUCUAGUAAACUCUUUGGGUAUUGGUCACAUGGCGAUGUGAACUAUGGAUGUUAAUCACAUAAAGAUGUGAAGUAUUGGUGUUAAAUCACAUGGCGAUGUGAACUAGAUUAUUGACUCUAGUGCAAGUGGGAGACUGAAAGAAAUAUGCCCUAGAGGCAAUAAUAAAGUUGUUAUUUUAUAUUUCCUUAUAUCAUGAUAAAUGUUUAUUAUUCAUGCUAGAAUUGUAUUAAUCAUAAACUUGAUACAUGUGUGGAUACAUAGACAAAACACCGUGUCCCUAGUAAGCCUAUGCUAGACUAGCUCCUUAAUCAAAGAUGGUUAAGUUUCCUAACCAUAGACACGUGUUGUCAUUUGAUGAACGAGAUCACAUCAUUAGGAGAAUUAUGUGAUGGACAAGACGCAUCCAUUAGCUUAGCAUAAUGAUCGUUUGGUUUAUUGCUAUUGUUUUCUUCAUGUCAAAUACAUAUUCCUUCGACUAUGAGAUAAUGCAACUCCCGGAUACCGGAGGAAUACCUUUUGUGCUAUCAAACGUCACAACGUAACUAGGUGAUCAUAAAGAUGCUCUACAGGUAUCUCCGAAGGUGUUUGUUGGGUUGGCAUAGAUCGAGAUUAGGAUUUGUCACUCCGAGUAUCGGAGAGGUAUCUCUGGGCCCUCUCGGUAAUGCACAUCAUAAGAAGCCUUGCUAGCAAUGUGACUAAUGAGUUAGUUGCAGGAUGAUGUAUUACGGAACGAGUAAAGAGACUUGCCGGUAACGAGAUUGAACUAGGUAUGUGGAUACCGACGAUCGAAUCUCGGGCAAGUAACAUACCGAUGGACAAAGGGAACUACGUAUGUUGUGAUAAGGUUCGACCGAUAAAGAUCUUCGUAGAAUAUGUAGGAGCCAAUAUGGGCAUCCAGGUUCCACUAUUGGUUAUUGACCGGAGAAGUGUCUCGGUCAUGUCUACAUAGUUCUUGAACCCGUAUGGUCUGCACGCUUAACGUUCGUUGAUGAUAUAGUAUUAUCUGAGUUAUGUAUGUUGGUAACUGAAUGUUGUUCGGAGUCCUAGAUGUGAUCAUGGACAUGACGAGGAGCUCCGAAAUGGUCCGGAGGUAAAGAUUUAUAUAUGGAAUAAUAGUGUUUGGUCUCCGGAAGGGUUCCGGAGUUCACUGGAAGGGGUUUCGGAUGUUUCCCGAAAUGUUUGGGUACGAGAACACUUUAUUUGGGCCAAAGGGGAAAGUGCAAAAGGGAGUUUUGCGGAGACCAGAGGCUAGACGCUAGGAACCCUGGCGUCUAGGGGGUAGACGCCGGGAACCCUGGCGUCUAGCCCUGGAGUCCGAGUAGGACUCUUGCCUUUCGGCAAAACCGACUUUUGUAGAGGCUUUUACUCCAAGUUUGGACCCUAGGGCUCAACAUAUAAAGUAGAGGGGCAGGGCUAGCACCCAAGACACAUCAGGAAUCACCAAGUCGUGUGCCGACAACCCCGUCCCCUCUAGUUUAUCCUCCGUCAUAGUUUUCGGUGUGCUUGGCGAAGCCCUGCGGAGAUUGUUCUUCACCAACACCGUCACCAUGCCGUCAUGCUGCCAGAACUCAUCUACUACUUCGCCCGUCUUGCUGGAUCAAGAAGGCGAGGACGUCAUCGAGUUGAACGUGUUCUGAACACGGAGGUGCCGUACGUUCGGUACUUGAUCGGGACGGAUCGUGAAGGUGUACGGCUACAUCAACCGCACUGAUAAACGCUUCCGCUUUGCGAUCUUCAAGGGUAUGAAGAUGCUCCCCCCUCUCGUAACUAUGCAUCUCCAUGGAUAGAUCAUUGUGUGUGCGUAGAAUUUUUUUGAAAUUGCAUGCUACGUUUUCCAAUAGGAAAGUCACGAUGAUUGAAAUGUUGGUUCGAUCUAACGACCUUAAUUGUUGAGCUGGCCAUUGUUAAUGAUAACGAGAGGCAGGACAAUAGAUUUAAACUAUUCCACCAAGAGGAUUUUGACUAUUCAAAGAUGACUCACCCAUUGAACACCCAACAUAGAAGGUAUAAUCACGUAACGUGGUAACUUCACCUUACAGUUGAGUUGGCAUACUCGCUAUUCACCAUGAACGGUAGCUCUACACAUCUAAGGGCAUCACCAGUGAGUGAUGUCCCCCAAAUCGGAGUUGGAUAUGGGAGGCGGCAAUCCAACAUCGUCCAUGGAAUGUCUACCUAGGUCCGGCCCCAUCCGGAUACAUUUGAAGUGCAAAUAAUCAUCAGUAGCAAUUUAAUGAGCAAGUAAAAGUGCAUACAUAUGAUUCACAACCAAUAAAGGCAGAUAUUCAUUAUCUUUUACAUGCCCUGGUCACAAAUGCUUCAGUCCGACAACUCAUGCAAAUUGUGCCCUCCCAGUCCGGCUGUUCGUGCCUCGUCCGUCAUCACUUUGUUUUCGGCUCAUACGCAGCUUCCGCAUCCACCAUCUCUGCUGCCAAGCGCUUCAACAUCUUUGCACAGACGGCUUGCACGAUCUUUGCUGCAUUGGUAUCCAACUCAUCCAUCUUCAUGGUCAAUAUCUUGGUUUCCUUGGAAGCGGCUGUGAGCCCAAGCCUCCUCUCUUCCAGCUUGGUCUUCUUUUCUUCGAGCUUGGUCUUUUGUUCUUCGAGGUUGAUCUUCUUCUUCGUUGCUGCCAUGAAGAUGUCAAACCUCGUCACCUUCGUUUCCUCCUUGAUGUCAUGGUUCUUGACACAAGCCUCCUCCUUCUUGUCCAUGAUGCCCUUGAACUUCUCUGUCAUCUUGUCCACUGCUCCUUCUCGCUUCUCCUUCUCCUCACCCCUUCCUCCCCCGGAUCCUUCUUUUGACCUUCUUGGCUGACUCUACUUUUGUUGGGUCAGUUUGAUCACCAUCUUCGUCUUCAUUGCCAAUGUUGACGACAUUGAUGAUACUGGCAAUGGAUAGGAGCCACUUCGGUUGCCCAUUCAACUUCAAUCAACAAUGCAUGAGGAUGAAGUUCUUCUUCUCCACGUCCACAUACAAUGUGCAUGCACGUGAAGGCCAGUUGAUACGUCCAUUUUCCAUCAUGCUUUUAUAUCGAUAUUUAUUGCAUUAUGGGCUAUUAUUACACAUUAUGUCACAAUACUUAUGCCUUUUCUCUCUUAUUUUACAAGGUUUACAUGAAGAGGGAGAAUGCCGGCAGCUGGAAUCCUGGGCUGGAAAAGGAGCAAAUAUUAGAGACCUAUUCUGCACAUCUCCAAAAGUCCUGAAACUCCACGAAAGUCAGUUUAGGAAUAUAUUAAAAAUAUUGGGCGAAGAAAACACCAGAGGGGGCCACCCANNNNNNNNNNNNNNNNNNNNNNNNNNNNNNNNNNNNNNNNNNNNNNNNNNNNNNNNNNNNNNNNNNNNNNNNNNNNNNNNNNNNNNNNNNNNNNNNNNNNNNNNNNNNNNNNNNNNNNNNNNNNNNNNNNNNNNNNNNNNNNNNNNNNNNNNNNNNNNNNNNNNNNNNNNNNNNNNNNNNNNNNNNNNNNNNNNNNNNNNNNNNNNNNNNNNNNNNNNNNNNNNNNNNNNNNNNNNNNNNNNNNNNNNNNNNNNNNNNNNNNNNNNNNNNNNNNNNNNNNNNNNNNNNNNNNNNUGGUAUAAGGUGUCUUUUGCCCUGGAAAAAAUCAUAAGGAAGCUUUUGGGACGAAGAGCCGCCGUCUCGAGGCGGAACCUGGCGAAACCAAUCUAGGGCUCCGGCGGAGCUGUUCUGCCGGGGAAACAUCCCUCCGGGAGGGGGAAAUCGUCACCAUCAUCACCACCAUCGAUCCUUUCAUCGGGAGGGGGUCAAUCUCCAUCAACAUCUUCACCAGCACCAUCUCCUCUCAAACCCUAGUUCAUCUCUUGUAUCCGAUCUUUGUCCCAAAACCUCAGAUUGGUACCUGUGGGUUGCUAGUAGUGUUGAUUACUCCUUAUAGUUGAUGCUAGUUGGUUUAUUCGGUGGAAGAUUAUAUGUUCAGAUCCUUUAUGCACAUUAAUACCCCUCUGAUUAUGAACAUGAAUAUGAUUUGUGAGUAGUUACGUUCGUUCCUGAGGACAUGAGAGAAGUCUUGUUAUAAGUAGUCAUGUGAAUUUGGUAUUCGUUCGAUAUUUUGAUGAGAUGUAUGUUGUCUUUCCUCUAGUGGUGUUAUGUGAACGUCGACUACAUGACACUUCACCAUUGUUUGGGCCUAGGGGGAGGCAUUGGGAAGUAAUAAGUAGAUGAUGGGUUGCUAGAGUGACAGAAGCUUAAACCUUAGUUUAUGUGUUGCUUCGUAAGGGGCUGAUUUGGAUCCAUAUGUUUCAUGCUAUGGUUAGGUUUACCUUAAUUCUUUUAGUAGUUGCAGAUGCUUGCGAGGGGGGUUAAUCAUAAGUGGGAUGCUUGUCCAAGGAAGGGCAGUACCCAAGCACCGGUCCACCCACAUAUCAAAUUAUUAAAGUAACGAACGUGAAUCAUAUGAGCAUGAUGAAAACUAGCUGGACGAUAAUUCCCAUGUGUCCUCGGGAGCGCUUUCCUUUAUAUAAGAGUUUGUCCAGGCUUGUCCUUUGCUACAAAAAGGAUUGGGCCACCUUGCUGCACCUUGUUUACUUUUGUUACUUGUUACCCGUUACGAAUUACCUUGUCACAAAACUAUCUAUUACCGAUAAUUUCAGUGCUGGCAGAGAAUACCUUACUGAAAACUGCUUGUCAUUUCCUUCUGCUCCUCGUUAGGUUCGCCACUCUUACUUAUCUAAAAGACUAUGAUAGAUCCCCUAUACUUGUGGGUCAUCAAGACUUCUGGCGCCGUUGCCGGGGAGUGAAGCGCCUUUGGUAGGUUGUCGUGGAAUAGUCACGGCAGAUGCCCUUGUGAAAGGACUUAGUCGUGGAGCCAUCGCAACUAGGAAGCUUAAAGGGGUUAAAGCGGGACAAAGGACACGAGGGUUAUACUGGUUCGGCCCCUUACGGUGAAGGUAAAAGCCUACUCCAGUUGAGGUGGAAUUACUAGGGUUUCGAUGACCAGGGAGCGAAUCCGCUAUGCCUGGCUACCGAUUUGAUGUUACUUGCCCUAAGCCGUCGGCGGGUCAUCCCCUUAUAUACACGGGUCGACGCCCCGCGGCCUACAGAGUCCCGGCCGGCUCAUAAACAGUGUUCGGCUCGGUGACUAGUUAAUCUUGCCUUACAACACAAGUCAUGCCAUUACGGCGGUUUAUCACUACGGGUCUUAAGUCGCCUACGGGCUUUAGGCCCUUUAUUGAACCGCCAUCUUCAAGCUUGAUAUUGGGCUUCAUAUGAUGAAUUGCCAUAGCGUAAACCGGCCCCUCCUGGGCAGGUUACGCCAGUAGUUAUGUCCCCAACAUUAGGCCCCAGAUUGAUUUGAACUGGUUCAUGUCAAUCUUCAAUACUUUAAGGAAAAACCUUCUGGCUUUUGUCUGUGCAAAAGUUAUAACCCGCCAUGACGUCAUCUUCUGGAUUCAUGAUAACCCGCCAUGACGUCAUCUUCCAUUAAAUUCAUUUUUUAUUCUGUCAUAUCACAACGGAUCCUUAUCUUAAUGACCAUCCCAAAAAUCGAGGCAUCUCUGUAGUUGGAUAAUCAUGUUUUCGGCCUCCUCGUUUUUUGCGCCCACUUAUCAGUCUUCCCCUAUAAAUAAGCACGACCUUUAGGUCUUUCUUCAUUCUCCCCCUUUUUGUCGUCUUCUUCCUCUCGCGACUCCGCUGCUGCUCGAGCUCCGCCGCCGCCGCCGCAGCAGAGCACCUCAUCUUCGUCGAUCUUGGCCGCUGCAUCAACCUGAAUCGACUAGAGAACGGCGGCGAUCCUCCGCAGUAGAUCUACAGCUGUAAGUCUUCACCUUCCCGCACUUCAGAUCUACAUUUAGGGUUUUCAAGUUCUUCCGUGUUCUUCAUGGUUCAUCACGGUUUCUUCGUAGUUCUUCCACCGCCGUCUCCUUUGAUCCAAAAGUAGUAUAGAACUCAUGCGGUAGUUGUUUUGUGUCCAUUUUCCAUACUAGCAAACCCCUUUUGUUUGUAAAAGGACCUCAUUAAAGCUCGGGAACUCAUCUGUACCAGUUUUUAGGUCUAGAAUAUUUUCUUUUCUUAACGACCGUUUGAUCCAAAAUAACAGCUGCAACCUGUGAAACCUGUUUGUGCGAUACUUAGGCAAAAACUGUAUCCGUUAGCCAUGGCGGCUCUUAUUGCCGGCUUAAAAGAAGCAAUGCUCAAUGAAUAAUCCUGAUGCCCAUGGUAGAUUUAAAUAAUUUAAUUGCUACUGUCUCCCAUGGCGGCUUAAACAAUCUGACACAAUUAGCCAUAUAUCAUUAGGCCCCUUUGUAAGCCGCCAUCUUGAAUAUGAAUUGAAAUAUUUUCUCUGGCUUAAAUUUGAGCCAGAAAUUUUGAUUUUGUCAUAGGCUUCCAUCCUUCAUAAUGCCGCCCAAGGCUCCCAAAGCACCCGUCACCUGCAACUGGGUUAGAUCCACCGUCACUGAUAGCAUCUUAAACGAUUUUGUGAAGACCGGUCAUCUGCCGAAAAAAGAGAUCAUGUCUUAUCGUGCUCCUGACCCGGCGGAAGAAAAGCCUCAACCCAAGGAUGGGGAAGUUGUCAUUUUUACUGAUCACAUGAGCCGGGGCUUUGCUCCACCCGGCUCAAAAAAAUUCAGAGACGUCUUGCACUUUUUUGACCUGCGACCUCAAGACAUCGGACCCAAUUCCGUGUCAAACAUCUGCAAUUUCCAAGUAUUCUGUGAGGCGUACCUUGGAGAAGAACCCAGCUUACUACUCUUUAGAGAGUUAUUUUAUCUGAACCGUCAAAACGAAUGUGCCCACGGGCCCAGCUUGGAGCUUGGCGGAAUCUCAAUCCAGCGACGUAGAGACUGUCUCUUCCCCUAUGCCGAGCCGCCGAGUCACCCUAAAGAUUGGAACCAGGCAUGGUUCUACUGUCAGGACACUUCUCCGGCUAAUGAGAACCCUUUGCCCGGCUUUCACGCCCUGCGCCUGGAGUCAACUCACCCCUUACCAGAUAAAUUAUCUCCGGCUGAACGUCAAACACUUGCCCCCACUAUAAACAAGAUCAAAGCUCUUCCGGGGAACGGCCUAAACGGCAUUGACUUGGUCCGGGUUUGGAUUGCCUGGCGGGUGAUUCCUUUGAGCCGCCGCCCCGGCUUGAUGUGCGAUUACACAGGCCAGAAAAAUGAUCCUCUACGGCACAGUCCUGACGACUUACCUGAGGAUGUCAUUGAUGACAUGACCAAGUCUCUUCUGAACGAGAGCCUGGCAGAUUGCGGGAAAGCGGGCUUAAGUCCUUUCUGCAAGGCUAACCCGGCGCCAGCGGUAAACCAUUAACUUGAGCAUCUUACUUUCCACUUUGAUAAUUUCAUCUUUAUUCAAAAACUCUUGCUAUAUUUUACAGGCUGGUGAUAAAUUCUGGAAGGUCAAGUAUGACCAUGAGGCUGCAAAGAAAGCCAGAAAGGCCAAGAAAGCCGCCAGGAAAGCCGCUGCCCGUAAGAAGGGGAACAAACCUAGCGCCUCGGAUAUGUUUCAUUUGGACGAUACCUCCGAGUCAGAGGUAACUCUUGACUCUUUAGGCUCCUUCUUUAACCAUCUUAUUGACACCGAUUAUCAGCAGGAGGAUACAGGAGCAAGUCAUGCAGUAAUUGAAGAGGUAACUAUAAUUUCCUCUGACUCCGAGCCUUUGCCGAGACAGGAAGUCCGAAGGGUAACCCGGAAAGUAAGAUUUUCACAUCCUUUAGCUUAUCAAGAUCCUCAAUUUCUUUUGAAGCGACAGAUUCACGAGAGUCGGAGGCAGACCCGGACUAGCAAAGAUGCGGACCUCUCCUCUGGCUUACCCGAUGUAACCAAAAAAUGCCGGAUUGAGGUUAUCUCUGAUUUAUAUUCUUUGUAUCCUUUGGCGGGUUUCACUCGUCAAACACUCAAUUCUUCUGACUCAAACUAUCAGGGAACUUCACCUUCCUCCGGCGAAUCAAUGCAGUCCAGCAUGUCGGCUUUCAAAACCGCUCCAGGGUAAUGAUAAUCUGUUUAUCUUGUGCUUAUCUUACUCAUGUUUUUAUACUAACCCUUUAAUUUUCAGUGUACAAGUAAAGCCCAGCAAGAGGACGAAGAGAAGUAAGCCGGCCGAAGAGCCAAUGUCUGCUGAACCGGAGCUCAGAACGGCUGCUCCUGAUACUUCCGCUCAUGAGCCGCCGCCUGAACCAGCCCAUGAUACUCCAACUCUCACCACUGAUCCGUCCGCCGAACAAGCUAUGGAAGGUUCUGAGAACCCGGAGAACCCUAGCCCGGCCAAGGCGGAUGACCCGGACGUCGAAAUUAUCCGGACUGACUUCGUUGAACCGGGGAGACCCACCGCGCUGGCCAAGUGCUCCGCCAAAGAAGAACUUCUGGAACGCCGCAAAACCUGGCUGGAUGUUAUUGAUUAUGCUCAUAUGAGUAUUGGAGAAAUCAUCUCUGGUUAUGUAAACCAAGUGCACAACAACCGGGAUCUGGAAAUUGAUAUGGUGAAACAAAUACACCAAAAAUUUGAGGUAUAACUCUUGUUGCUUGCUCCUUAGUUAUCCUUACUAUGCCAGCCCCCAAGUCUAUUACUUAUGAUGAAAUAUGUUGUAGACUUAACACCAGCUUAGUAAUCACUGCAAGAAAACCGGCUUAUCCGGUAGCACCCAAGGGCCGGCUCAGACAGCAUAUUUGAACCGGUCUUUCCCGUAUUUUAACCAAGUACUUGAACAACAAUAUGCAUUAGCCCCCAAGUGCCAAGUACCUUUGCCUGCAAAGUGCUUGGGACUUAUUUCCAUGAACCGCCAUUGUAAAUAGAGCUCUUUAGCAUAUAUUAGCCCCCAAGUGCCAAGUAUCUUUGCUUGCAAAGUGCUUGGGACUUAAUGCUGCAUUAUAAUAACCCUAACUGUAACCCGGAAUUUAUACAGGCCGCCAUUAAGCAAUUUGAAUCGGAGAUCUCUGACUUGAAGAAUCGCCUGAAAACUCAAGAGAGUGAAAACCAAAAGGCGAACUCCAAGUUUGAAGUCAGUGUAUCCGCACCAGAGAAAUUGAAAAAGAAGUUUGAAACGGAGAGAAAGGCCUGGGCGGAUGAAAAGACCGCUUUGCUCAACCGGGUUGAACGUUUAAAGAGCUGCCUUUAACUGUCCUGCAUAGAGAACAAAUUACAAGUCCCUUGGCGGCUUACCGCAUAGAGGGUCAUAUAUUUUACAUAUAACCUGGAGUAUGAAUCAAAAUCAUAAAAAACUGGUUCUCAAUUAUAUCUUUGAGACAACCAUAACAGCAUACCUGUGACCCUUCGAUUACACUUCCGGUUUACGUGACCCGAACAAUGAGGGUGAGAACCCAACUCUGUAAUACGAUGGUUAUUAUAUGCGAUCAUCUUUAUUGAUCAAGGUUAAGCCGGUGGAAUAGGAACCACCCUUGUACACUUUAGACAUGAUCGAAAGAACUUCCAGUAAAAUCCAAAAACUUGUUUGCAAAAAGAGACUUCAAAAAUUUGGAGGCUUCUGAUUCGAAUACGACCAGAAAACCGUCCCAAAGGGGUUAAGCUAAGAUUCGAAUACGAUCAUAUAGCCCCCAGUGGCUUUGGCGUUGCCGAUCAAGAGGGUACCGACAGCUAUGUCCUCUUUGGUUCGAAUACGACCUAUGUUUGAACAGGAAGCCCCCAAAUGACCUUGAGAGUUGUUUAACGACGCUGAUUCGAAUAGAUCCACAUCGGUUCCCAAAGGGGGUUGAGCUAUGAUUGAAAUAUGAUCAAGAAACUCCCCAAUGAGCUCGGCAGUGUGCCGAUCAAAAGGGUAUCGAUAGCUAUGUUCUCUUUGGUUCGAAUACAACCUAUGUUUGAACAGGAAGCCCCCUAGUGAUCAUAAUAUUUAACGGCUAGAUUCGAAUACGAUCGUAAGCCGGAUCAGCCCCCAAGUGAUCAUGUGAUAUCAUAAUGAAAAUAACAAUGACACAUUUACCUUUGAGGGGGAAAAAAAGGACAGAGGUCCUGCUUUAUUAUUUAUCAUAAUAUAUACAUUGUCACGGAAGUAUGUACAUUAUGAGAGCCGGUGGCUCAAGUGUAAUAAGGCCGAAGAUGAGCGAUAUUCCACGGCCGGUGGGUCUCCUCCUCCGACUUACGUGAAUCUUUGUGCUCUCGAACAUCGAUGAGGUAGUAUGACCCAUUGUGCAAGUUCUUGCUGACCACAAAGGGCCCUUCCCAAGGUGGGGAUAACUUGUGCGCAUCUGUUUGAUCCUGGAUGAGCCGGAGCACUAAGUCACCUUCCUGAAAGGUUAUGGACUUAACCCGGCGGCUGUGAUAGCGGCGCAGGUCUUGUUGGUAAAUCGCCGAGCGAGCUGCUGCUACGUCACGCUGUUCGUCCAACAAGUCAAGAGCAUCCUGACGCGCUUGUUCAUCGUCCGCCUCAACAUAAGCCGCCACACGAGGCGAGUCAUGACGGAUGUCGCUAGGGAGAACCGCCUCGGCUCCGUAAACCAUGAAGAAAGGCGUGUAACCCGUAGAUCUAUUAGGAGUAGUAUUGAUGCUCCAUAUCACAGAGGGUAAUUCCUCCACCCAACAACCCGGCGUGCGCUGCAGAGGGACCAAAAGCCGGGGCUUGAUGCCUUUCAAGAUUUCCUGAUUGGCUCUCUCAGCUUGGCCAUUGGAUUGGGGGUGAGCCACUGAUGAAACAUCAAGCCGAAUAUGCUCCUGUUGACAAAAUUCUUCCAUGGUGCCUUUAGACAGAUUGGUACCAUUGUCAGUUAUAAUGCUGUGUGGAAAACCAAAGCGAAAUAUCACCUUUUUCAUGAACUGAACCGCCGUGGCUGCAUCACACUUACUAACUGGCUCUGCCUCAACCCACUUUGUGAACUUGUCAACCGCCACCAAGAGGUGGGUCUUCUUAUCCUUGGACCUUUUGAAAGGUCCAGCCAUAUCAAGCCCCCAGGCUGCAAACGGCCAAGUGAUUGGAAUCAUCCUCAACUCUUGAGCCGGCACGUGAGCACGUCUUGAGAACUUCUGACAACCGUCAUAUUUACUGACUAAGUCCUCUGCAUCAGCAUGAGCCGUCAGCCAAUAAAAACCAUGACAAAAAGCUUUGGCCACAAGGGAUUUUGAGCCGGCAUGAUGGCCACAAUCUCCCUCGUGAAUCUCACAUAAAAUUUCUUGACCUUCCUUAGGGGAAACACAACGCUGAAAAGCCCCAGUGACACUGCGAUGAUGCAACUCGCCAUUGGCAAUUAUCAUUGACUUAGACCGUUGGGUUAUUUGUCUGGCCAAAGUUUCAUCCUCAGGCAAUUCUCCCCGGGUCAUGUAAGCCAAGUAUGGCACUGUCCAAUCUGGGAUAACAUGAAGAGCCGCCACCAACUGUGCUUCUGGGUCCGAAACAGCCAAGUCUUCCUCUGUAGGUAACUUGACAGAAGGGUUAUGCAGAAUAUCCAAGAAAGUAUUAGGCGGCACCGGCUUUCGCUGAGAGCCCAGCCGGCUUAAGGCAUCAGCCACCUCGUUCUUUCUGCGGUCAAUGUGCUCUACUUGGUAACCCUGAAGAUGUCCGGCAAUGGCAUCAACUUCACGGCGAUAAGCCGCCAUGAGGGGGUCCUUGGAAUCCCACUUGCCUGAUACUUGUUGAGCCACCAAAUCUAAGUCGCCAAAGCACCUUACCCGGCUUAAGCUCAUCUCCUUAGCCAUCCGAAGACCAUGGAGCAAGGCCUCGUACUCAGCUGCAUUGUUAGUACAGGGAAACAUCAACCGUAGCACAUAACGAAAUUUGUCACCUCGAGGGGAAGCUAACACGACUCCAGCCCCCGAGCCCUCCAAUUGCCUGGACCCGUCGAAGUGAAUAGUCCAGUAUGUGUUAUCCGGUUUCUCUUCAGGCAUCUGCAGCUCUGUCCAAUCGUUGAUGAAAUCUACCAACGCUUGCGAUUUGAUAGCCGUGCGUGGCGCAUACUUUAAACCAUGAGGCCCAAGUUCAAUGGCCCACUUAGCGACUCUUCCUGUGGCUUCUCUGUUUUGGAUGAUAUCUCCUAAAGGAGCAGAACUAACCACAGUGAUAGGGUGGCCCUGGAAAUAUUGCUUAAGCUUCCGGCUUGCCAUGAAUACCCCAUAAACAAGCUUCUGCCAAUGUGGAUACCGUUGCUUGGACUCAAUAAGUACUUCGGUGAUGUAGUAAACCAGCCGCUGAACCGGGUGUUCCUUACCCGCCUCCUUGCGCUCCACCAUGAUGGCCACACUGACGGCUCGUGUGUUAGCGGCUACAUACAAUAAUAAGGGCUCCUUAUCAACAGGAGCAGCAAGAACUGGCGGUUCAGCUAACUGUCUUUUCAAAUCCUCAAAGGCGGCAUUGGCAGCAUCACUCCAGACAAAGUCAUCUGUUUUCUUCAUCAUCUGAUACAGCGGUAUGGCCUUUUCGCCCAACCGGCUUAUAAACCGACUUAAAGCAGCGAUCCGGCCCACCAGACGCUGGACGUCAUUUAUGCACGCCGGCUUAGCCAGAGAGGUGAUUGCCUUGAUCUUCUCCGGGUUAGCUUCGAUGCCUCUGUGAGAAACCAGAAAACCCAAAAGCUUGCCUGCAGGAACACCAAAAACACACUUGGCCGGGUUAAGCAUCAUCUUGUAGACCCAAAGAUUACCAAAGGUUUCCCUCAGAUCGUCUAUCAAGGUCUCCUUCUCUCUGGAUUUUACCACUAUAUCAUCCACAUAGGCAUGAACGUUGCGCCAAAUCUGAUUAUGAAGACAAUUCUGUACGCAGCGCUGGUAAGUCGCCUGGGCGCUCUUGAGCCCAAAAGGCAUAGACACAUAACAUAAGGCUCCAAAGGGAGUAAUGAACACCGUCUUCUCUUGGUCCUUAACUGCCAUUUUGAUCUGAUGGUAACCAGAGUAAGCAUCCAGAAAACUCAAACGCUCACAACCCGCCGUAGCAUCAAUAAUUUGAUCAAUACGGGGGAGAGCAAAAGGAUCAGCCGGACAAGCCUUGUUUAAAUCCGUAUAAUCCACACACAUACGCCAGGUGCCGUUCUUCUUGAGCACGAGCACCGGGUUAGCUAGCCAUUCUGGAUGAAAGACUUCGACGAUGAACCCGGCCGCCAAGAGCCGGGCUACUUCCUCACCAAUGGCUUUCCGCCUCUCCUCGUCAAACCGCCGGAGAAAUUGCUUGAUUGGCUUAAAUUUUGGAUCAAUAUUAAGAGUGUGCUCAACGAGUUCUCUCGGUACACCCGGCAUGUUAGAAGGUUUCCAUGCAAAGAUGUCCCGGUUCUCACGGAUGAACUCGAUGAGCGCGCUUUCCUAUUUAGGAUCCAGAUUGGCACUGAUGCUGAACUGCUUAGAUGAGUCGCCUGGAACAAAGUCAAUAAGCUUAGUCUCAUCGGCCGACUUAAAUUUCAUUACCGGGUAAUGCUCCGUGGUCGGCUUUUUCAAAGACGUCAUGUCUGCCGGGUCAACAUUAUCCUUGUAAAACUUUAAUUCCUCCGUCGCACAAACAGAUUCGGCGUAAGCAGCGUCACCUUCCUCGCACUCCAAAGCUAUCUUUCGGCUGCCAUGAACUGUAAUGGUCCCGUUGUGACCCGGCAUCUUGAGCUACAAAUAUACAUAACACGGCCGUGCCAUGAACUUGGCGUAAGCCGGCCGCCCAAAUAGAGCAUGGUACGGGCUUCUGAUCUUGACCACCUCAAAAGUCAGUUUUUCCGCCCUGGAGUUGUACUCAUCUCCAAAGGCUACUUCCAGCUUGAUCUUACCAAUUGGAUACGCCGACUUACCGGGCACCAUGCCAUGGAAAAUAGUAUUGGACUGUUUGAGGUUUUUAUCAGUUAAUCCCAUACGAUGGAAGGUCUCAUAAUAGAGGAUGUUGAUGCUACUACCUCCGUCCAUGAGUACCUUAGUGAAUUUAUACCCAUCAACUUGAGGAGCCACCACCAAGGCCAGGUGACCCGGAUUAUCAAUCCGGGGAGGGUGAUCUUCCCUAUUCCAUACAAUCGGCUGCUCAGACCAUCGCAAGUAACGUGGAACCGCCGGCUCAACAGCGUUCACAGCCCUCUUAUGAAGCUUCUGGUCUCGCUUGCACAAACUGGUAGUAAACACAUGAUACUGUCCACUAUUGAGCUGCUUUGGAUUGGUCUGGUAUCCCCCCUGCUGCUGCUGCUGAUUACCCUGGCCAGAUUGCUGGUUAAAACCACCUUGAUUACCUUGAGAAUUCUGAAAAUUGGAAUUUGAACCGCCGCCCGGGCCAUGAAAGCCGCCGCCACCUGAGCCACCGCCCUGCCCAUUGUUACUGUUGAACAUGUUGGAAUUCUUGAAAGCUUUCAUGAUCGCACAGUCUUUCCAUAGAUGAGUGUCCGGCUUCUCCCUAGAGCCAUGCCUUGGACAGGGCUCAUUUAACAAUUGCUCAAGCGUCGGGCCUGACCCGCCAGACCGGGGAGGUGGUCUCCCCUUACGUUGGUGAUUGUUACCCUGCGCAUUGGUGUUAGCCACAAACUCCAUACCAUCAUCAGCCUUACGUUUAUUGCCUCCUUGACUCGCCGGGUUAUGCUGAGGGCCCUUGCCGUUGCCAUUCUUCUUUCCCCUCCCUGUCUUUUCAUCAUCAGACACGGGAUCCUUGGUACUAUCAGAGUCGGCGUACUUGACCAGAGCCGCCAUCAGCGUACCCAUAUCGUUGCAAUCGCGCUUGAGCCGCCCGAGCUUCAUCUUCAGGGGCGCAAGACGACAAUUUUGCUCCAACAUUAAGACUGCAGAGCCGGCAUCCAUCUUAUCAGACGAAUGUAUUAUUUCCUUGACCCGGCGUACCCAAUGGGUUGUAGAUUCGCCUUCUUCCUGCUUGCAGCUAGUCAAAUCCACAAUUGACAUAGAUUGCUUACAUGUAUCUUUGAAGUUUUGGAUGAACCGGGCUUUUAUCUCUGCCCAUGACCCGAUGGAAUUAGGUGGCAGUCCCUUCAACCAAGUGCAGGCAGUCCCAUCCAACAUCAUGGUGAAGUAUUUGGCCAUCGCCGCUUCACUGACCUCCAGCAACUCCAUAGCCAUCUCGUAGCUUUCAAUCCAUGCUCCGGGCUAUAAAUCUGCCGUGUAAUUAGGUACCUUCCUAGGUCCUUUGAAAUCUUUGGGCAGACGUUCGUUACGGAGAGCUGGCACCAGACAAGGGACACCUCCGGUCCUCGUAGCUACGCCUGCCUCGAUAGAAGCCGUUGGGUAAACCGGAAAAGGCUGGUAAGCUGUCAGCUGAGCCACCUGCUCAGCCUCUUGACGUGCUCUGUCUUGAUCUACCGCGUUGAAAGCUCCAUUAUGCGCCGGGCCAUGCCCACCUGGCAAGUCACGGCACCGGACAUUGCUUGAGCCGGCCGCUGAAACCAUGUGUCUGCUAUAACUUGGGCUCUGGUUUGGACGAGGGGUUGAAUGAAUCAUGUCCCGGCUAUAUGAAUAUGCCUCCUGUUGUGCCAAAGCCGUCUGAAGAAGUUCUCUGACCCUGUGGGUUCCGACCGCCGUUGGAUAAUCGCCCUCGACCGGGAGAGCCGCCAGUCGUGCCGCUGCAGCGAUCAUGUUUUCCAAUGGAUUAGAAUAAUGACCCGGUGGUAUUGGUACGUAUCGAGGCGGGGCAGUAUUCACACGGGGAGGCCCCAUCACUUGCGGCUGAACCAGCGUUCCAACCCCGGGUGCCGUGAUUUCUGGCGGGUUACUAGGCCCUGCACCGGGCGUGUUGAAGAGGUUUCGAGGAUCAUAAACCGGAGGGAGCCAAGAUUGGGCCUUCUGAUGCCUCCUUCUCAUGACCUCAUUGGAUGCAUUCUGAUCCAUUGUGAGCCGGAAAGACUGCGCCUGAAUCAGCUGAGUCUGGGCGUCCAGAGCCGCCCGUUCUGCAGCCAUCCUGAUUCCUUCCGCUGCCAGAUCUUCCUUGGCCUGCGCUAUAUCCAUCUUUAACUGUGCCACUUCUGCAUCAUAUUGAGCUUGAUCCGCUGGGAAGACCGUGGCGGUUAACAGGGCAGUCAUCUUAUCCGUGAGAUCCAUCAGCACCUGAGCCGGCGAGUGCACAGGGCCUCCUGCCCCAGCGGCGGGGUUUUGAACAGGUUGCGUGCCGGCCAUGAAGAUUCCAACCCGGCUUGGCGGCUCAAAAGGGUCCGGAAUACUGUCGCCAUCGGAACAACCCCCAAGCCUGCCAUCUUGAAGUUGAUACAACGAGUCCGUCUCACCUGUGGACGAUUCACCAUCAGAGCAGAUGGUCGUCUCAUCGCCAGAUCUAGAUCCUUCAGAGAGUCCUCCGUGGAUGCAUCCCACGAAAGCACGCUUCAAGGCAGGCAGAGUCCGGGCGGGUCUCGCACGCUGAGCCGUCUCGAUGAGGUCGGUGCAGAUGUCCGGCUCAGGGCCCGGCUCGCCGAUCUUGCCAAUGAAAACGUGGAUUCCGCCGAAGGGGACCCGGUACCCGUACUCGAUUGAGCCGGUGUCAGGGCCCCAGCCUGCGUCGUCGAUGUAUAGAUUGCCGCGACGACUCUUGGUCAUCCGGCCCACAGCGUAUCCCUUGAGCCCUUCGAAGCUGCCCUUCAAGAACUCAAAUCCACCAUGCGCUGGCCCCACGGUGGGCGCCAACUGUCGUGGAAUAGUCACGGCAGAUGCCCUUGUGAAAGGACUUAGUCGUGGAGCCAUCGCAACUAGGAAGCUUAAAGGGGUUAAAGCAGGACAAAGGACACGAGGGUUAUACUGGUUCGGCCCCUUACGGUGAAGGUAAAAGCCUACUCCAGUUGAGGUGGAAUUACUAGGGUUUUGAUGACCAGGGAGCGAAUCCGCUAUGCCUGGCUGCCGAUUUGAUGUUACUUGCCCUAAGCCGCCGGCGGGUCAUCCCCUUAUAUACACGGGUCGACGCCUCGCGGCCUACAGAGUCCCGGCCGGCUCAUAAACAGUGUUCGGCUCGGUGACUAGUUAAUCUUGCCUUACAACACAAGUCAUGCCAUUACGGUGGUUUAUCACUACGGGCCUUAAGUCGCCUACGGGCUUUAGGCCCUUUAUUGAACCGCCAUCUUCAAGCUUGAUAUUGGGCUUCAUAUGAUGAAUUGCCAUAGCGUAACCCGGCCCCUCCUGGGAGGGUUACGCCAGUAGUUAUGUCCCCAACAUAGAUGGAAUUUGGUAAGGAAAAAUUUAUAUAGUGUGCUGAAAUUUACUGUCACUUGUUACUAUGGAAAAUAAUUCUUUGAGGGGCUUGUUCGGGGUAUCUUCACCCCGACCAGUAGAGCAAAGAGUUGCUCCUCAACCUACUAAACCUACUGAAAAUGUUUACUUUGAAAUUCCUUCGGGUAUGAUAGAGAAACUGCUAGCUAAUCCUUUUACAGGAGAUGGAACGUUACAUCCCGAUAUGCACCUAAUUUAUGUGGAUGAAGUUUGUGGAUUAUUUAAGCUUGCAUGUAUGCUCGAGGAUGUUAUCAAUAAGAAGGUCUUCCCUUUAUCUUUUAAGGGAAAGGCAUUGACAUGGUUUAGGCUAUGUGAUGAUAUUGGAUCAUGGAACUACAAUCGAUUGAAAUUGGAAUUUCAUCAUAAGUUUUACCCUAUGCAUUUGGUUCAUCGUGAUCGUAAUUAUAUAUAUAAUUUUUGGCCUCGUGAAGGAGAAAGUAUCGCUCAAGCUUGGGGGAGGCUUAAGUCAAUGUUAUAUUUAUGCCCCAAUCAUGAGCUCUCAAGAGAAGUUAUUAUUCAAAAAAAAAUAUGCUCGGCUUUCUCUCAAUAAUCGCUCCAUGCUCGAUACUCCUUGUACUGGUUCUUUUAUGACGAAGACUAUUGAAUUCAAAUGAGAUUUAUUGGAAAGAAUUAAACACAACUCUGAAGAUUGGGAACUCGACGAAGGUAAGGAGUCAGGUAUAACACCUAAGUUUGAUUGUGUUAAAUCUUUUAUGGAUAACGAUGCUUUUCGUGAAUUUAGCACUAAAUAUGGACUUGACUCUGAGAUAGUAGCUUCUUUCUGUGAAUCAUUUGCUACUCAUGUUGAUCUCCCUAAGGAGAAGUGGUUUAAAUAUCAUCCUUCCAUUGAAGUAAAAGUAGUUGUGUAGCGACCUGACCCAAAUGGAUCGAAGUCUCUGUGCUUAAGUGUCAUCCCUGGAUCGGUAUGCUGACACACACAGUACUCGAGGAAUUAUAACAGAGUUCAACCACAUACUUUAUUACAUCAAGGUCCUCAAAAGAGUAUUUAUUACAAUAAUAUGGCCAAAGGCCAUCUAAGUAAAAAUAACUGCGGAAGCAUUGAAGGUAAAUGAGUCCAUCCAACUUCACGGCAAACUGAGUGUAGAAUAACGACCUAUCGCACCUUUAAUCCUCGUCGGAAAAGUCUGCAACAUGAGACGUUGCAGCCGUGUAGGUCAGCACAUGGAAUAUGCUGGCAAUUUCACACCAUAAAAUAAUAAUAAAUGAAAAGACUAUCUCUAUAUGCAAAUUUAGCUGGUGGAGGCUCUAAGUUUUAUUUUGCAUAAAGCUAAUUUUACCCUACAACAAAGGAAUAAUUUUUUUAACUACUACAUUAAAAUGCCAUUAUUGAGAAGGUUCCUCCAACUCAAUCCCAAAAUUCCCAAGUUAUUAGUAACCCAAUAAUUUCAUUAAAAGAGUGAUGAGAUCAACCAAUAAUUCACUUCUAGAUACUCAAGAUGUCCGUAACCGGGGAAACGGCUAAUCAUGAUUAGUUUGUACACUCUGGAGAGGUUUGCGCACUUUUCCCCACAAGACUCGACCACCUCCAUGAUCGGAAGAUCGAGACAUAGCAUUUCUGAAGUAUUUCCUCCAAACCCUGGGUAGACCGGUACACCUACUUUCCCCUACAUCAGCUAGUCUACCACGAAAAGAGGUCACACAACUUACUCAGCUAUGCCAGAGCCCAUAAUGGCUUGUGGCUGCACACGGAAGUUUCUAGGCAUGAAAUAUCUUAUGAUCCCUUUGAGCCUAGGUGGCGGACCUAGGGUAAUCACACGGGUACUCCGGGAUUCCCCUUGGGCAAGCACUGGUUUCUCCAGGUGCCCCAAACAAUCCACCCAGAUGUGUAUUAAAGUUGUCACCUUAGGUUAUCCCAAAAUUAUCAACUCUCGCAACUUGCAUGGAUCACACAUACCAAUCCCCGUCUACGAGCAUGGCUAAGCAAUAUAUGAUAUAACGAAUAUUCCCGGGGUGAUCAAAGGUCAUAGGUGUAAGGGCAUAUUUAUCCCUAAGGUGUUUUGGUGAUUGACGACAAUGCUUUUGCGGACUAAUCGUGUGCCUUGAGUUUCUCAGAUGUUUCAUCGCUAGGCACAAGACGGUUUGGUGCCCCUCGAAGACUAUUGAAGACGGCGUUCUUUUUACGUUUCUUUUCGGUGGAAUUGAGUCGUAGGAAAGCCUUACUAUCAAGAGGGGGUCCGCUUCGGAAAGGUUCGGGUGGAAUCAUCACGUACAUGUUUUCUUCCUUGUCUCCACCUUUCCCCUUGCGCUUUGGAGCAUCCUCCAUUUAUCCUCUUUGCAUUAUGUCUUGGUUGCUGAAUUUGGGCUCGCGGUAGUACUGCUCCCCGGAGCGGUAGUACCGCAGGAACCUGUGGUAGUACUGGACCUCGGCGCGGUAGUACUGCAGGAGCCCACGGUAGUACCGCUCCUCAGGAGCUGUAGUACUAGUACCGCUCCUCAGGAGUUGUAGUACCGUGGCCCCCAGGCCAAGUGCCGCUGCAAUGCGGUAGUAGGGGCGGAUGUAACUUUUUACAUCCGCGCCCUCCGCGGUAGUACCACACCUUGUGCGCGGUAGUACCGCGCGCCCUGGCCUGACUCAGCCGCCACGCGGUAGUACCGCUCACCAUUUGCGGUAGUACUGUGUCGGACUUUUGCAUCGACUGUUUUCCAGCGGAAGUUGGCACGGAUGUAAUUUUAUUCAUCCGCGUCCUUCCCAGGCCAGUCCAGUCCUGCCUUGCGGUAGUACCGCAAGGGGGUGCGGUAGUACCGCGCCAGCGGCAGUACCGCCCUCCGCCUCUGCGCGUCAGGCUUGUCCUCGCUCCUGUCGUGGUAACGGUAGUACCGUGGGCUGUCACGGUAGUACCGUGAGGCCUUGCGGUAGUACCGCUUGCCUGGUGCGGUAGUACCGCAAGUCGCGGGCUGGUUAGGUGGAUAACGGUUGGAUUUAGUUCUCGACUAUAAAAGGGGUGUCUUCUUCCUCUAGUUGACUACCUCUUCCAACCCCAAGCUCCAUUGUUGCUCCAAACUCCAUUUUCGCCCGAUCUCACUCCCUAGCCAAUCAAACUUGUUGAUUUGCUCGGGAGUGGUUGAGAAGGCCCCGAUCUACACUUCCACCAAGAGAAAUUUGAUUCCCCCACUAAUCCCUUGCGGAUCUUGUUACUCUUGGGUGUUUGAGCACCCUAGACGGUUGAGGUCACCGCGGAGCCAUAGUCCAUUGUGGUGAAGCUUCGUGGUGUCGUUGGGAGCCUCCAAUUAAGUUGUGGAGAUUGCCCCAAUCUUAUUUGUAAAGGUUCGGUCGCCGCCUCCAAGGGCACCAAUAGUGGAAUCACGGCAUCUCGCAUUGUGUGAGGGCGUGAGGAGAAUACGGUGGCCCUAGUGGCUUCUUAGGGAGCAUUGUGGCUCCACACCACUCCAACGGAGACGUACUUCCCUCAAAGGAAAGGAACUUCGGUAACACAUCCUCGUCUCCACCGGCUCCACUCUUGGUUAUCUCGUGCCUUUACUUGUGCAAGCUUAUUUGUGUUAUAUCUCUUGCUUGCUUGUGUGCUUGUUGUUGUUGCAUCAUAUAGGUUGCUCACCUAGUUGCAUAUCUAGACAACCCUACUUUGAUGCAAAUUUUAAAUUGGUAAAGAAAAGUUAAAAAUUGUCAGUUGCCUAUUCACCCCCCCCCCCUCUAGUCAACUAUAUCGAUCCUUUCAAUUGGUAUCAGAGCCUCGUCUCUUUAUUAAGGACUUUACCGUCCGAAGAGUAUGGUUGACGUCUUAGACGGUGUGGAGGAGCACUCCGGUGCGAAUCCGGUCUCGUCUACGGGAGAUGGGGGAACCGCGGUCUCUCAUGAGGAAUUCAAUGUGGCGUUGGACACAUUGAAAACCUCCAUGACGACCGAGGUCGAAAGCAUGUUUAAUAAAUUCUUAGAAGGGCUUAAACUUUCCACCGCACCGUUGAAAGUGGGUGAUCCCGCUAACAAGGUGACAGAUGCUACCUCCGACAAGGGGGAAGCUACUAGCGAGAAAGCUCCUUCUUCUAGUGGUAAAAAUGGCACCGGAAUCUUUGCCCAUGUGGAACCUCCACUUGUCUAUGGUGGACCGCUUCCUUCCACUCAUUUGAAUCAUGACGGCCCGGCCCCUAAGAUUGAGAAGAAUGUAGAAUUUGAUUCUUGGGUCUAUCGUUUUAAGCGUCAUUUAAAUCAUGUGAACACUAACCUUUGGAGAAUCAUUGAAGAAGGUUUCUAUCCGCAUGACCGAAGCAACUUCACUCCUAGAGAAGUCGUGGAUAAUCAAUUCAAUGAGAAUGCUCUCUUCAUCAUCCAAGAAGCAAUCCUGCCCGAAGAUCUUCCUCAUCUCCGGCCCUACUCCAUGGCCAAAGAUGCUUGGCACCAAGUGGUUUCCCUCUAUCGGGGAAGCGCAAGCAUUCAACGCUCCAACUAUGAAGUGGUGCAAGAUGAAGCUGAUGAGUUUGCAAUGAAAGAAGAUGAAGAACCUCGUGAGCUUUAUCGGAGGGUAACCAAACUAGCGGUCUCUCUCCGAGAUCAUGGAAGUAAGGACACGGAUGACAAUUGGAUCAAGUGCAAAUUCCUCAAGGCAAUGAUGCCCUACCACAAAGCCAUGUCCUCCGUCAUUCGUCAAAGGCCGGACUUCCACACCUUGUCCUCAAGUUAAGUGUUGGAUGAGUUCGUUGCUAUGAGCAUCUUGGACAAGACCGCCGACAAUGCGGUACUACGCUCUCAAAGAGUAAAGAAGCGCAACCUUGCUCUAAAGGCCAAGGUUAGUAUGGAGGAAGAGGAUGAAGAGGAAGAAGAGGAGAGCAACCUCGAAGAUACGAAGUAUGCCUAUCAUGAACACAUGGCCCUUGCUUCAAGACAAUUUUGGAGCAAGAAAAACUCAAGGCCCAACUUCAACAAGAACAAUUCAAGUGGCGCAAAGGGCAAGCAACGAGUGAUGACUUGCUUUAAUUGUGGCAAUGUGAGCCACUUUGUUGCGGAGUGCCCUUAUGAGAAGAGGGAAGACAAUGGUGGUAAGCUCAUCCGAAAGGACAAUGCCAAGUCGUUCCCCAACAAGAGCAACUUCACCAAGAAGACUCCUCCCAAGGCAUUGGUGGUACAAGAAGAGUACAAUGAGGAUGAUGACAACGAUGAAGAUGGUGAGUCGGUUGCCAUGGCCUCCGUUGCCAUUGCGACGACUCCACGGGUGUCUCUCUUCGACUCACCCAAUGAGAGCAUCACCGCCAAGUGCCUCAUGGCUAAAGCCACCAAAAAGGUAACCCCCAACAUCAAAACUACCAUCAUUAAUCAUCCUUCUUUGACGGAUAGCAUUGAUGAACAUGAGGGAACAAAUGUGGAGGAGAAUGAGUUUGAGACCUUUAUGGGUAAACUCAAGGGUAAAUCCAAGAAGCACUUUGUUGCUCUCUUGGAACAACUUGGUGAAGCCAAUGACAUGAUCGAGGCUCACGAAGAUACCAUCUCUAAUAUGGAGUGGCAUAGUCGUGACUAUGCCGAUGAGAUUUCGGAUCUUUCCAAUGCUCUUGAGGAAGAGCGUGGUCUUCGUUUGGCUCUUGAGGAGUCACACAACGAUGAUCAUGCUAAGUUAAAGAAAUAUCUUGAUCAUGCUCUUGUUGUUUCUCGUGUGCUAAACUCCGAGAAGGCAAAGCUUGGGGUUGAUCUUGCUAGACUCAAAGAGGAGUUUGACAUUCUCGACAAGGCUCACAAAGUCUUGAAGGGUGUUCAUGCUAGCCUCAAGGAGUCUCAUGAUCAACUCCAAGUGAAGCUAACCAAGAAGCCACAUUUCCUCAUAUGGUGUUAAUUGAUAAUGCAAAUGCUACUAACCCAUGUUGUGAGCAUGUGCAUCUUGUUGAGGAGAAUGCUAAGUUAAAGGAGCAGCUUGAGAAGGGUCUUGUGUCUUGCAUACAAGGCGAGAAGAACCUGAACGACCUUUAGAGCAAUCAAAAGGAAGUUGUGGACAAGGAAGGGGUUGGGUACGCACCCAAGUCCAAGAUCAAGAAGAAGAAUGACAAGGCCAAACGACCUCCCCCUCUUAAGCAAACCUUUGUGAAGGAGGGAGAGGGUGAUACUAAGGAGAAGAAGAAGAACGCCAUGAAGGGUGGUGAUGCCAAGAUGGGGAACACUUCCCUUCUCAACAAAGCCGGCGACUUUAACCCUUCUUAUGUGUUGUGUCGUGCUAGUGAUGGACAUGUCCAAAUUUGUUGGUUCUCCUUAUGAGUACAUUGAAUGGUCUAUUUGGGUUCCUAAGACCCUUGUUACUAACAUCAAAGGACCCAUUACAAAAUGGGUACCUAAAACCAAGCAUUGAUCUCCUGUAGGUGUUUGCUUCCGGUGGGGGAUCAUGGUUGCUCGAUAGUGGAUCUACAAAUCAUAUGACCGGAAGCAAGGACUUGGUGGUGGACGUGCACAAGAUUCCAUCUAUGCCCACCAAUGUCGAGUGGGGUGAUGCCUCGUCUUCUAAGGUAUUGGGACUCGGCAAGGUUGUCAUUUCUCAUGAUCUCACGAUCGAGAAGGUCAUGCUUGUUGAGUCCCUUGCAUACAAUUUACUUUCCGUUCGUCAACUUGCAAUCGUGGGCUUUGCCACUUUCUUUGAUAUUGAUACCGUGGACCUCUUGUGGAGCAAGACUCUUAAAGUAGACUUUGUUGGGCAUGUCGAGAAUGGUCUAUAUGUGAUUAACUUUUCGGAGCGACCCACUAAGACCGCGACAUACCUAAUGGCUAAAGUUGACGUGGGAUGGCUUUGGCAUCGCGGUUUAGCCCAUGUCAAUAUGAGAUCUUUGCAAAGUAUUCUCAAGGGGGACCAUGUCCGUGGAUUAACGAAUGUUAGUUUUGCUAAAGAUCGUGCUUGCAGUGCUUGUAUCGAAGGAAAGCUACAUGAGGAGGCUCACCCUCCCACGACUAUCAUUUACUCGAAGAGGCCUUUGGAGCUCCUUCAUUUGUAUCUCUUUGGGCCUCCAUCCUUUGAUAGUCUUGGGGGUAGGAAGUAUUUCUUGGUGAUUGUGGAUGACUAUUCAAGAUACACUUGGGUGUAUUUCUUCAAGAGGAAGAGCGAGACCCAACAAACCGUCAUUGACUUUGCAAAUGAAGCCCAACGUCAACACAAUGCAAAGAUCUUGACAAUAAGAAGUGACAACGGCACCGAGUUCAAGAAUUACACCUUGGAUGAGUUUCUUAGUGAUGAGGGGAUCAAGCAUCAAUAUUCCGCACCUUACACCCCUCAACAAAACGGUGUUGCGGAGAGGAAGAACCGGGCGUUGAUGGAUGCGGCAAGGACCAUGAUGGCGGAGUUCAAGUCGCCAUACAACUUUUGGGCCGAAGCCAUCAACACCGCGUGUCAUGCUCCAAAUCGUCUCUAUCUCCACAAAGGCUUGAACAAGACUCCGUAUGAGAUACUCACCGGUAACAAGCCCAACCUCAAGUACUUCCGGCUGUUUGGGUGUAAGUGUUUCAUUCUCAAAAAGGGUGUUCGGUUGUCUAAAUUUGAGGCUAGAGCUUAUGAGGGCAUUUUUGUUGGUUAUGCUACAAACUCUCAUGCUUACCGUGUCCUCAAUAAAUCCACGGGACUUAUUGAGGAGACGUGUAACGUGGAGUUUGAUGAGAAUAACGGCUCCCAAGUGGAGCAAAGUGGCACUUGUGAUGUAGGUGAUGAAAUUCCUCCUCAAGCCAUAAGAAGAAUGGGUGUUGGUUUUAUCCUACCCAUUGAGGAACCCCUUGUGGCCGAAGGAGAAGGACACUGCUCCACUCAAGUGGAGCCAUCACCAACCCAAGGCCCACACGCUUCCGAAGAACAAAUUGAAGGCCCUCAACCUCAUGAACAAGACCAAGGGCAAGAUCAUGCUCAAGACGGUGUUGACACACCAAGUGAUGCCCAAGGUCAAGUUCUCUCCUCCGAGCAAGUUCAAGAUCAAGAACAAGCUCAUGUCGACGCUCAAGAUGAUCAAGUGACCGCUCCUCAACUCACCACCGAGGAGGAAUUGGAGCGUCGUGCCGCCAAGAUUGCAUCCAAGCUCUCCACCAAGGGUCAUCUCAUGAAAAAUGUGCUUGGAAGCAUUCAAAAGGGGGUAAGCACUCGUAGACAAUUGGCAAACUAUUGUGAACAUCACGCGUUUGUCUCUUGUGUUGAACCCCAAAAGGUAUAUGAAGCCCUCGAAGAUCCGGAUUGGCUCAAUGCCAUGCAUGAAGAACUCAACAACUUCGAGUACAACAAGGUGUGGAGAUUGGUGCCAAGGCCAACGGGGAACCACAAUGUCAUUGGAACCAAGUGGAUAUUCAAGAACAAGCAAGAUGCUCAUGGGACCAUCAUUCGCAACAAGGCAAGAUUUGUGGCACAAGGCUACUCCCAAGUCGAGGGUAUCGACUACGGUGAAACCUUUGCUCCCGUUGCUCGCCUUGAAUCCAUUCGUUUGUUGAUUGCUUAUGCUUCUCAUCACAACUUUAAGUUGCAACAAAUGGAUGUGAAGAGUGCUUUUCUUAAUGGUCCUAUUAAUGAGUUGGUAUAUGUCAAGCAACCCCCCGGGUUCGUGGAUCCCUACUUUCCCGAUCAUGUGUAUCAACUCGAUAAGGCACUCUAUGGCCUUAAACAAGCCCCACGUGCGUGGUAUGACCACCUUACCGAGUUGUUACAAGACCGUGGAUUUGAAGUUGGGCUAAUCGACCCCACUCUUUUUACUAAGAAGGUCAAAGGGGAGUUGUUUGUGUGCCAACUUUAUGUUGAUGAUAUUAUCUUUGGUUCCCCUAACAAAGCUUUCAAUGAGGAAUUUGCCGCUCUCAUGACCUCAAAGUUCAAGAUGUCUUCCAUGGGAGAGUUGAAGUUCUUUCUCGGGUUCGAAGUGAAGCAAAGAAGAGAAGGAACCUUCAUCAACCAAGCCAAAUACACUCAAGACAUGCUCAACAUUCAAGCUAAGUGAUGUCAAGCCGACUUCCACUCCAAUGCCCACCAAGUGCCAACUUGACAUCGAUCCCAAUGGUAAAGCGGUGGAUCAAAAGGUAUAUCGUUCCAUGAUUGGAUCCUUGCUUUACCUUUGUGCAUCUAGACCGGAUAUCAUGUUGAGUGUGGGAAUUUGUGCACGGUUUCAAGCCGCACCUAAGGAAAGCCACUUUGUGGCGGUCAAGCGAAUCUUUCGAUAUUUGGCUCAUAAGCCAAACUUUGGCUUAUGGUACCCAAGAGGAGCAAACUUCAAGCUUGUAGGGUAUUCGGACUCCGAUUGGGCGGGAGACAAAGUGGAUAGGAAGUCCACUUCCGGAGGGUGCCAAUUCUUUGGUUGCUCUUUGGUAAGUUGGUCUUCUAAAAAGCAAAGUUGUGUGUCUCUCUCGUCCACCAAAGCGGAGUAUGUGGCGGCCGGUAGUUGUUGUGCACAACUCUUAUGGAUGAGGCAAACUUUAAAGGAUCACGGUGUCAUUUGUGACAAAGUGCCUCUUUGGUGUGACAAUGAAAGUGCCAUCAAGAUUUCUCUCAACCCGGUGCAACACUUCAAGACGAAGCAUAUUGAGAUUUUGUAUCAUCCGGGAUCACAUUAGGCGAGGGGAGAUCGAGCUCAACUACGUCAACACUCAUGAUAACCUUGCAGAUAUUUUCACGAAGCCGUUGGAUGAAGCAAGAUUUCGCGAGUUAAGGCAUGAGCUAAAUAUCAUUGAUUCGAGCAAUGUUGCUUGAACCCUUGCACACCCCACCAUACUCAACUUGUUGUCUUGUUUAGAUGUAGGCAUGGACAUAGGGGAGUGUUGUUCUCUCAAUGAACUCUCCCUCCCCCCAUUAUGCAUAAAUUGAUCUACUCUUUCACAUUAGCCAUUUUUUAUGGUACUUGUGCUUCAAAGACGAGUUUUGGUCAUGGGCCCAAGGAUAAUUCUUUGCGGUGCCAUACCAAUUGACUCAAACAUAGGUGGCUCCGGCCACCGCCCUCUCUUUGGAGAGGUUGUGUCUCGUGGUUGAUUCUUGUUGUCUUUUGCCUUUCUUUCUUCGUGUUGAGCGUGUUCUUGUGGUGUCUCGUUUGCUUGAAGAUUCCGUGCGAAGACCUCUUUUUUUCUUGUGUUUGAAACGUGCAUCUUCUUGAGCUCACGGUACUACGGCGGCCUGCCACGGUACUACCGCGUGUGGAGUGCACGGUACUACCGCACCUAGCACGGCAGUAAUUUUUUACUGCCGCCUGGGAGAGCGGUACUACCGCUUCGAUGCGGCACUUCCGCCCGAGCGGUACUACCGCGAUGAAGCGCGGUACUACCGCGCUGACGCAUGCGCGUGGGGGUUAUGACCCGGGCAGGGGGAGUUCCAACUCCCCCAUUCCCAUUCAUUUGUCUCUCUCCCCGCAGCCCCUCUCUCUCCUGCUCAAGAACGGCGCCGGAGACCCUCGCUGGAUCUCCGUCUCCGGCCACUCUCCUCGGAUUCCGACUGGUGGGAUCGUUCCCCACCACUUCCUCUUGCCAUGGAACAAGGUUUCUCCCCAAAUCCCUCUCCCUUUUGUUCGUUCUUUUUGUCUCUAGGUUUUUGGGGAGAUGCAUGUGUUCUUGAUAUUUUAGGCCAAAUCUAUGCAAGAGUAGGAUGUAGGAGAGUUGUGUAGCAUGGAAAUUAUACUUGAUAUGUUGUCCCGUGGUAGAUUCGAUCAACCGUAGUACCACCGCGUUUUCGUGGUUGUUUUCAGAUUCAAAGUUCGGAUCUGACGCCGUGCGGUACUACCGCACCUACUGUGCGGUACUACCGCGUGUCCGGUACUACCGCGUGUCCGGUACUACCGCCCGUCAGGUGCGGUACUACCGCACAAGCCGUAGUACUAAAGUUCUACUACCGCUCCAAGCCCCGGUACUACCGUGCCCUCACGCGGUACUACCGCGCCUAGGAGCGGUACUAAAAUUUCAGUACUGCGCAACUUGGCAGUACUACCGUUGUUGUCCAAUAUUCAUCUUGGCAACUAACACGUAUGCUUUCUACAUGUUUCCUGUGUCUUGCUGAGGUCUUUGCAUUGAUUCUUCUCGUGUUUCGUUUGUGGCUUUUGCUUUGUGUCCUAGGUGGUGGCUCCGGUGCUCCUGCUCGCCGUUCCAAUCCUAGUCGUGACACUGGCUCCAAGCGUCUGCGAAAUCAAGAUGAAGCUCCAGAGGGCUCUAGUGCCCCCAAGUGCAAUGUCAAGUCCUCCGCCAGCAAGUACAAGGAACCCGCAAAGGGCAUGGACGAGAUUCCACUUUCUGAGUUUAUCCCUCGAAGGCAGAUCAACCCAUAUGUGAAUGCCCGUGCUAUCUUCAGAGGCAAGGACUUGUUUUGGACCAAGCAGCAGACUCUCAUCUAUUUGGAUGUGAUCAAGGCCAAGCAAAACAGCUACGUGGAUGUCAAGUGGAUUGACAUGAAUCACAUGAGGCAGGCCAAUCACCAUGGUUACUUUGGAGAAGCUCUGGAUUUGGUGGAGCAGUUUGGCAUUGAGCAUGUGAUCUCCUUCCAUCUGACCCUGAGCUUAUUUGCCAGUUCUUUGCCUCAGUUCACUUCCACACUGGGGAGGAUCGAAGAAUGACCUGGAUGACCAAUGGACAUCAGUUGACUGCUACCUGGAAGGAUUUCAUGGGUCUGCUCCAUGUUCCUGAUGACGGGCUCACCACGCCCGUAGGUGUUCGCCCUCAUGCCAACCCUGAGUCUGCCAGCAAGAACAGGCUUUAGCAGUAUUAUGUUGAGAAGGUGCUUCCCAGUGGCAAGUCGACGUGGGUGCUGAACCCAUUUCUGGACAUCAUGUAUCGCAUCUUCCGCAACUCUCUCUUUCCUCGCAUUGGCGACAAGGACAAGGUGCAUGCCUAUCUGGUGAAUAUGAUGCUCCUGUGCGAGGAGGCGUGUGUGUCUCAGUCUCAACCACUUGAUGUCUCACAUAUCAUGUGGUGUGAGCUUCGGUUCACGGUAUUCAACCGCAAGGUACCUAUCUAUGGACCGUACCUGUUUCUGUUGAUCUCCAAGUCUUGGGAGAAGAUGUUCCCUAGUGAUGAGUUCCUUGCUCCAGACUGGAUUCGACAUGAGUCCAUCAGUCUCCAUGUCAAGCCCAAGUGGGCCAACACUACUACUCGUGCUGAGGCAACGACGGCUAAGAGGGCUGUUGAUGAGGAGGAGGCUGAGGCUGAGGCUGCUGUUGAGGACCGUACUGCUGGGUAUACCCAUCGUUCCUCUAAGCCCUUGUGGGCCAAGAAGCUCAAGGACAAGAUGAAGACUCUGUUCUGCAUGCAGGCAAAGGGGCAGUACAGGACUCACGUUGCUUCCAAGGAGAGUCACCGCCGCAACAAGAAGAUCAUGAAGGUUUUUGGUGAGGGAGAAUCCAGCGGGUCAGAGAGGCACAUCACACCAGAGGCAGAAUGGAUGGCGAAGCAAGGCUACAGGUGGACUGAUUCUGAGGAGGACAUCGAGGAGACCGUCCCAGCCGUCGAGUCUGACGAGGAGCAUUGGAGCGAUUACUCUGCCUGAGCCACCCCUUGUGUAUAGGUGUCCUCUCUGCCUUUUUGGCGUCUCGAUGCCAAAGGGGGAGAGAGUGUAGGGAUUUGCUUGCGAGUCGUGUGUCAAGUUUGGUUUGUUUGCCUUUUCGUUUGAACCUCGUUUGCUUUGGUUUGGUUUGCGCUUGUGAGACUUAUCCUCUUAUCCUUCAUAUGGUGUAAGACAUAUGCACUCUAUCUUAUCUUAGUGAGCUUAUGAUAUAUGGUGCUACUUAUGUUAUGCUCUUGUUUGCUAUCCUGCUUAGUGUUAGCCUUCUAUUGCAAGAUAUGCCUUGUCUAUAAAAUAUAGGGGGAGUGUUGAUCCUAGUAUGUGUGCCGUGCAGUCCAAAGCACCCAUCUAGAUUGCACACAUCUAGGGGGAGCCCCGUCUAUAUUUUAGAGAGGAGGGGUUUGCGUUUGCUCAAUAUUAUUUUCCUUUGUGCAAAUCCCGUAUUGUCAUCAAUCCGCCAAAAGGGGGGAUAUUGUAAGGGCAUAUUUAUCCCUAAGGUGUUUUGGUGAUUGAUGACAAUGCUUUUGCGGACUAAUCAUGUGCCUUGAGUUUCUCAGACGUUUCAUCGCUAGGCACAAGACGGUUUGGUGCCCCUCGAAGACUAUUGAAGACGGCGUUCUUUUUACGUUUCUUUUCGGUGGAAUUGAGUCGUAGGAAAGCCGUACUAUCAAGAGGGGGUCCGCUUCGGCAAGGUUCGGGUGGAAUCAUCACGUACACGUUUUCUUCCUUGUCUCCACCUUUCCCCUUGCGCUUUGGAGCAUCCUCCGUUUAUCCUCUUUGCAUUAUGUCUUGGUUGCUGAAUUUGGGCUCACGGUAGUACUGCUCCCCGGAGCGGUAGUACCUCAGGAACCUGCGGUAGUACCGGACCUCGGCGCGGUAGUACUGCAGGAGCCCACAGUAGUACCGCUCCUCAGGAGCUGUAGUACCGUGGCCCCCAGGCCAAGUGCCGCUGCAAUGCGGUAGUAGGGGCGGAUGUAAUUUUUUACAUCCGCCCCCUCCGCGGUAGUACCGCACCUUGUGCGCGAUAGUACCGCGCGCCCUGGCCUGGCUCAGCAGCCACGCCGUAGUACCGCUCACCAUCUGCGGUAGUACUAUGUCGGACUUUUGCAUCGAUUGUUUUCCAACGGAAGUUGGCAUGGAUCUAAUUUUAUUCAUCCGCGUCCUUCCCAGGCCGGUCCAGUCCUGCCUUGCGGUAGUACCGCAAGGGGGUGCGGUAGUACCGUGCGAGCGGCAGUACCGCCCUCCGCCUCUGCGCGUCAGGCUUGUCCUCGCUCCUGCCAUGGCUACGGUAGUAUCGUGGGCUCUCACGGUAGUACCGUGAGGCCUUGCGGUAGUACCGCUUGUCUGGUGCGGUAGUACCGCAAGUCGCGGGCUGGUUAGGUGGAUAAUGGUUGGAUUUAGUUCUCAACUAUAAAAGGGGUGUCUUCUUCCUCUAGUUGAGGACCUCUUCCAACCCCAAGCUACAUUGUUGCUCCAAACUCCAUUUUCGCCCGAUCUCACUCCCUAGCCAAUCAAACUUGUUGAUUUGCUCGGGAGUGGUUGAGAAGGCCCUGGUCUACACUUCCACCAAGAGAAAUUUGAUUCCCCCACUAAUCCCUUGCGAAUCUUGUUACUCUUGGGUGUUUGAGCACCCUAGACGGUUGAGGUCACCGCGGAGCCAUAGUCCAUUGUGGUGAAGCUUCGUGGUGUCGUUGGGAGCCUCCAAUUAAGUUGUGAAGAUUGCCCCAAUCUUAUUUGUAAAGGUUCGGUCGCCGCCUCCAAGGGCACCAAUAGUGGAACCACGGUAUCUCGCAUUGUGUGAGGGCGUGAGGAGAAUACGGUGGCCCUAGUGGCUUCUUGGGGAGCAUUGUGGCUCCACACCGCUCCAACGGAGACGUACUUCCCUCAAAGGGAAGGAACUUCGGUAACACAUCCUCGUCUCCACCGGCUCCACUCUUGGUUAUCUCGUGCCUUUACUUGUGCAAGCUUAUUUGUGUUAUAUCUCUUGCUUGCUUGUGUGCUUGUUGUUGUUGCAUCAUAUAGGUUGCUCACCUAGUUGCAUAUCUAGACAACCCUACUUUGAUGCAAAGUUUAAAUUGGUAAAGAAAAAUUAAAAAGUAUUAGUUGCCUAUUCACCCCCCCUCUAGUCAACUAUAUUGAUCCUUUCAAUAGGUUCCUACCACAUGAACUACAUAGCAUAACCACAUGUUUCCAAUUCUACUCAUGCAAUCUUUGAGGGUUAAACUAAUGCAUCGUAAAAACUGGGUAUUAAAAAUUAUGAUCAAAGUGUGAACUUGCCUUGCUGACGUUCGUUGAACUCUAAAGAUUCGUAGUAGCAAGCUUCGCACUCCGGAUGAUCUAGCAUAAGCAAGCAAUAACAUACAUAAGCAUACAAGCAAAGAAUCAAAAUAAAACAAAGAGAGGACUUCGGAAAACUUCAAAAACAACCAAAUAAAUUUUCUGUACAGAACGUGAUUUUUGCAGCAACAAAAAUAAAUGGUUUUGGUUUUAACAGAAAUUACACGUUACGAGUUUCGAUUUGCAAAAAGAAUCACCUAAAACAGAGUUACGAAACUCGAGAUACGGCCUAACGAAGUUUGAAUUCAGAUCUGUUUGAAUUCAAAUUUUAAAAUUUUCAAAAAAAAAUUUCGUUUGGUUCUCUGGAUAGAUGGGAUUUCUAUGAACUAGUAGGAAAAAGAAUCAACUAAAUCGGAUCUAUAGACUAAAAGAUAUACAAGAAAGAAAAUUUGGUAAAGAAUCUGAAUUUGGAAAAAUUCCUGAAAAUGAAAAAAAAUCGGCCAGGGACAAGUGGCGCUCUGCGAUUCGCUGGCUGGGUGCUCACCGGACUUGUCGCCGGAGACGAGGAAAGGUGACUCCGGUGUGCUUCGGCGAAGGACGCGUGCGGAACGAUGUAUAGGACGAUGAGUUGAACCACUUGCACAAGUUGUGGUUGUAGAUUGCUUCCUGUACGCACGGUGACAGGUCGCCGGAAUUCUCGAACUCCGGCGAGAAAUUGGAGAGGUUAGGGACAGGGGAAAACUUCAGAAGGAGAGGGCUUCGGACGAGGGGUGAGAGGGGCUCCCAAGGGUGCUUUAUAUAGGGCAAGGGACGUCCAGAGUUGGGUGGGGCAAGAUGUGUUAAUGGUUGCAGUUUCAAGUGCUCAUGGUGGCCAUUAUGGUCGUCUUUGAGGCGCACCAGGGGAUGGGAGGGGUCGAGGGAGGUAAGGGGAACCGGUUCCGGCAGUUAUUGAGUUGGGAGAGGGAGAGGAAGAGGAAGGAUCGAGGUACAGGCGUCCAUGGCUGUUGCUCUCUGUUCAUGUUCCUGUAACGAUGAGAGGAGGAAGAUGGCCAUCGGUUGGGCUGGAAGAUAUGGGCCUUAGUGGGAGAAGUUGGGCCAAGGGCAAAGGAGAAAAGAAAAAAAAUAGAAAAGAUAGAUGGGCUAGAUAGGAUGACAAAGAGAAAGAUUAACUAAUAACAAUAUUAGACUAGAUAAACAAUAAAUAAAUGGUUCGCUCUCUCAGAAUUGUUAUUUAGAUCUGAAGAAAAAAUGUUCACAUAAUUAUAUGGUCUUAUAUAUGACCCUGUUAACUUUUAUCCGGCCUAAAAUGCGAGUUUUCAAAAAUAAACUUUUUGCUAUGCUAAUAAAAUAAAUUGCAAAUAAAACUCAACAAAUAUAUUUUGAUUCCAAAUUCAAUUUCCAAUAUUUUCUUUUCUGAUUUUGAAGAAGUCAUUUUAUCUUCUCCCUUUAUUUUAUUUUUGCUAUAAUGGAAAUGAAUUUUUUUGGUGAAACCAAAUUUGAUCCAAACUCCCAACUUCGAAAAAAA